rnacentral:rRNA from 1 species
GUGGGGAAUCUUCCGCAAUGGACGAAAGUCUGACGGAGCAACGCCGCGUGAGUGAUGAAGGUCUUCGGAUUGUAAAACUCUGUUGUCAGGGACGAAUGUGCGAACGUUGAAUAAGCGUUUGUAUUGACGGUACCUGACGAGGAAGCCACGGCUAACUACGUGCCAGCAGCCGCGGUAAUACGUAGGUGGCAAGCGUUGUCCGGAAUUAUUGGGCGUAAAGAGCAUGUAGGCGGGCUUUUAAGUCCGACGUGAAAAUGCGGGGCUUAAACCCGUAUGGCGUUGGAUACUGGAAGUCUUGAGUGCAGGAGAGGAAAGGGGAAUUCCCAGUGUAGCGGUGAAAUGCGUAGAUAUUGGGAGGAACACCAGUGGCGAAGGCGCCUUUCUGGACUGUGUCUGACGCUGAGAUGCGAAAGCCAGGGUAGCAAACGGGAUUAGAAACCCGUGUAGUCC